GAUGUGGAUGUUCUUGUAUUUCCAUGAACCCCGAGUUCUGCUCCUCCAAAUCUGUUAUAAUAAAGUACUUUUUUUAAGUAUCUUCAGUUCUCAAGGUCAAAAGCAGAAUGAAUCCAGAAAUCAUGAGAUUCAGGGGUCCUGAACCGAAGAGCAAUUACCUGAGCUUCAUUGGUUGUGGUCUGAUUUUACUGCGUUCUCAAAAUGCAAUUCCGUUAAAAGGUGGAAGUAUUGGAUGGGUGCAGCAUAUCCGGCCCUCGUGAGUAAAGUCUGCAGCUGACUCUUAGAAUUGUCACCACCAGGUCCACUUUCAAUUCUUGAAACAGAAUUUGGUGCCGCUGCCAGAGUUGAUUUCUUGGAGGGUUGCUGAAGGAUCUGCCGGCCAAAAGUAAAUCGACCUUCACACUGGUCUUCUGAAAUAAGCAAGCGUAUAGCAGAUAGGAGCUCAUGGUGGGAGUGCAAGUCCAUCGUAGGAUUUAGUAGCUGUACUUUGACCAAAUCAAUGAAUAGAAGCACUUAGAGUCUAGUAACAUUUCACGUUA